rnacentral:tRNA from 1 species
GGGGAUGUAGCUCAUCUGGGAGAGCGCGACUAUCGCAAAGUCGAGGUAGGGGGUUCGAGUCCCCCCAUCUCCA